rnacentral:rRNA from 1 species
AACGAACGCUGGCGGCAGGCUUAACACAUGCAAGUCGAGCGAAGACUUCGGUCUUAGCGGCGGACGGGUGAGUAACGCGUGGGAACAUGCCCUUUGCUACGGAACAGUCCCGGGAAACUGGGUUUAAUACCGUAUACGCCCUUCGGGGGAAAGAUUUAUCGGCAAAGGAUUGGCCCGCGUUGGAUUAGCUAGUUGGUGGGGUAAUGGCUCACCAAGGCGACGAUCCGUAGCUGGUCUGAGAGGAUGACCAGCCACACUGGGACUGAGACACGGCCCAGACUCCUACGGGAGGCAGCAGUGGGGAAUAUUGGACAAUGGGCGAAAGCCUGAUCCAGCCAUGCCGCGUGGGUGAAGAAGGCCUUAGGGUUGUAAACCCCUUUCAGCGGGGAAGAUAAUGACGGUACCCGCAGAAGAAGUCCCGGCUAACUCCGUGCCAGCCGCCGCCGUAAAAC